UACGAAGGGGGGCUAGCGUUACUCGGAUUGACUGGGCGUAAAGGGCGCGUAGGGGGGAUGGUACAGUCAGACGUGAAAUUCCUGGGCUCAACCUGGGGGCUGCGUUUGAUACGUGCUGUCUGGAGUUCGGAAGAGGGUCGUGGAAUUCCCAGUGUAGAGGUGAAAUUCGUAGAUAUUGGGAAGAACACCGGUGGCGAAGGCGGCGACCUGGGACAAUACUGACGCUGAGGUGCGAAAGCGUGGGGAGCAAACAGG
rnacentral:rRNA from 1 species